GACGUAGGGCGCGAGCGUUGUCCGGAUUUAUUGGGCGUAAAGAGCUCGUAGGCGGCUUGUUGCGUCGACCGUGAAAACCCGGGGCUCAACUUCGGGCUUGCGGUCGAUACGGGCGGGCUAGAGUUCGGUAGGGGAGACUGGAAUUCCUGGUGUAGCGGUGAAAUGCGUAGAUAUCAAGUGGAACACCAGUGGCGAAGGCGAGUCCCUGGACAACUCCUGACACUGAGGCACGAAAGCUAGGGGAGCAAACAGG
rnacentral:rRNA from 1 species